CCGGCAGGCUUCGAGCUACUCCAAGUACCAGGAGGUGCUUUUCAAUACUGCGCCCGGCUACUCGUCGGGGCUGGAGCCCGUCGCCCGCGCCCGCAGCCCCCGUGGAGACCCGGCUUUCGACCGGGGGUUCUAGGCUCGCUGGACAUAGCAAGGACAUACGCAGUUCAAAUAGUUAAAUAAAAAAAAAAGUUCCAAUUUUAAACAUUUUCGGACAUAGUGUAAUAAAAGGCUUCCAGUUUCCAAUUCGAGACGCUGCCUUCCAUGACAGAGGGUUCUAGGCUCGCUGGACAUAGCAAGGACAUACACAGUUGAAAUAGUUAAAUAAACCAAUUUUAAACAUUAACUAAAAAAAAGUUCCAAUUUGUCAACAUUUUUCGCGCGUAAGACUAAAUAGGGUGUAAUAAAAAGGCUUCCAAUUUCUAAUGCGGGACGCUGCCUUCCAAGACAGAGGGUUUUAGGCUCGCAUGGACAUAGCAAGGACAUACACAGUUUCAAAUAGAUAAAUAAAAACAAAAGUUCCAAUUUGUCAACAUUUUACGCGCGUAAGACUAUAAUAGGAAUAAUAGGAUGUAAUUUAAUUAGACUUAAACAGAGCAAGUUCUAAUUUAUUAUACCAAGUUCCAAUUUGGACUGUUAAACAUAGCAAAUUAGUUGAUUGAAAACAGCAAAAACAAAAAAAAAUAUCUUUGUUUUUUUGACAUAAAGCGAGGUUUAGACUAGUAAUCAAACUUGCAGAAGUUGACUUCCGCAAGCUGUCACCACUGUAAAUAGCCGCGGCAAGCCAACUUCUGCAAAAUUUAUACAGUGGUAGCUUGCAAAGUCCAUUCCAUUUCUGCAAAUGUUAUUGCUAGCCUAAACCGCGCCUUAGACUUAAAAUAUAUGUAAUAAUAAGGCUCAUGUAUCUAGUUAGUAAGUCGCCCUUUUAAGUAUUUCUAAAACAGGUUGUCCUUAGCAAGUUCGGUAAUAUGUCUAAAAGGUCACUCUGUAUCAUUUUUACACUGCCAAGUUAUCCAUGCUGGAUUUGCUCUUUGCUACUUAUAUUUUAAAGUUCUGAGUAUAUAAUUAAUUAUAGUAUUAAGUACAAUAAUAUACAAUAUGAAUAACAUUGUAACUUACACUUUUGUACAACUUUUAACAGACACAAUAUCUAUUCCAUAAAGUUGUACAAACAUGUAACUUGAGUUACAAUGUUAUUCGUAUUGUGCGUCAAUAUAAUAAUAAUCAAGCAAUAAAAUGUGAAUGAAACAUUAUUAAUAACAUUACAACGUACGAGUAUAUGCCUUAUGUAAAUGAAAAAUUGUAAUAGUGCAUUUUAUAUGAAUUAGCGAUUCCGUUUAAAACCGUACUUAUG